rnacentral:misc_RNA from 1 species
CGGUGUUGUUGCGCUGCGG